CUCAGGACGGAAGGUUCUUAGGUCGGUAGGUCCUCAGGACGGAAAGACCUCAGGUCGGAAGGUCCGCAAGACGGAAAGACCUCAAGUCGGAAGGUCUUCAGGUCGGGAGGUCCGCAAGACGGAAAGACCUCAAGUCGGAAGGUCUUCAGGUCGGGAGGUCCGCAAGACGGAAAGACGAUGAGUCGGAAGGUUUUCAAGUCGGGAGGUCCUCGAGACGGAAAGUCGUCGAGAUGGGAUAUCCGCAGGUCGGGUAAACUGUAGG